CUGUCUAGAGACUUUACCCCUGGACCUGAGUACUUUCUACUUUCACACCUUCAUGGCUGCUGAUUAGGGAUAUCAGCCAGAGCUGACCACUGGGGUCCCUUUCACCACAUGGAACAUUAACAGAGCAAUAAAUCUCUGCCCCUGUUUCUUCAACACACAGAGAUAAGGCAUCAAUAUUACACAUGAGUCCCUGGUCUUGGUAUUUGUGUCUGUUUAGCAGUAAGACCGGAAUUUACAAAGAAUCAAAGUACUGAGAUGUUGAGAAUAAAAGGAAGAUGAAGAACUUCCGCCAGGCAAGAGGCAAAACUGGAGAAGGCCCAAACAGCAAAACGGAACAUGUCAGUUCAACAACAGAUGAGCCAUGCAACAUGGACCAUGUUGGAGAAGAAAUCAUUUAAACUUCUGUUUUUCUAUGUGAAGGCAUCAGAUUUUUUGUUGUGAAUGUUUAGGGCUUAAUCAGUUGAAUAAUUUAUGUAAGACACAUCGAAAAAUCUUGUCUGAUUUCAUGUAACAAUAGUAAUUGUAUAAUUGUAUGCAUAAUAUAUGUGCAGUCUACUCUCAAUAUUUCGGAGUUGUAUUGGACAAGGUUUCACAUAAUUAUCGAAUUAUUGGCAUUUCUGGUAAUUCGGACACGUAUUAUUAGUUAUCCCUAACAUGAUACAAGUAAAAAAAUGUAAAAUAAUAGGUAUUUUAUUCAGAUAAAACAUCAUAAAUAUCCAUGGAACUCGAGAUAACCGAGUUCGAGAUAUUAAUAGUAGACUGAUUGUAUUAUAAUUUUAUUGAUUUCUUUGAUUUACGGUGUCUGCCAAUAACGUUUUUGGUAUUAUAUGUGUAUUUCUCAUAACGUUUGUAAACAUUAAAUAGUUUUACAUACAUGUAAUGUUUUGAAAUUAAUUGUAACAGUACAUGUUGCUAUUUCUCAAAUAAAACAUGUGUUUUGAAUAUACAUGUA